rnacentral:rRNA from 1 species
AGAUUGAACGCUGGCGGCAGGCCUAACACAUGCAAGUCGAGCGGCAGCACGGGUACUUGUACCUGGUGGCGAGCGGCGGACGGGUGAGUAAUGCCUAGGAAUCUGCCUGGUAGGUGGGGGAUAACGCUACGGAAACGGACGCUAAUACCGCAUACGUCCUACGGGAGAAAGCGA